GACAACGUGGUGAAAGCGGCAUCACGCCCGCCGAUUAAAGGCCAACCAUCUUGAAAGCGGGAAUUAUGGGUUCGACUCCCAGCGUUGUCA
rnacentral:tRNA from 1 species